ACGCUAGAUGGCGUGCGCCCGAUAAUGUAAAUUUGAAGAAUCAUUACUAAUUUUAUAACAAUGGUUUUCAUUAAAAAACAUUACAAUAAUUUAAAACUAACUAUCGUAAACGAAAAUAUAAAACAUUGUGGUCGUGUGUGAAAAAAAUGUUAGCGUUAGUUAUUAUUAUUGUCACUGGCAACAAUAAAAAUUUUUAAAUUCGUUCGUAGACAAAAUACGAUGUUGCCGUUCCGUCGAACAUGACCUUUGACACGUUGCCAAACUUAUUUAGUACCAUCAGAUGGUUGACUUGAAAUAAAAUACAUUUCGAAGAGUUUGCGUAGCAUUACGCUAGGCUUUACGCGCGGAAUUUCUUGUAUGUUUUUGAUCAAUGAAAAUUCAUUGAUUCGAAGUAAUAUUUCUUGUAUGUAUUUCUUUCCAAUUUAAUAUGAUUAUUGCAAAGUAUUGUAGUAUAUGUUGUUUAUAAGUAAGUAAUUUUAUUUCAAAAUAAAAAUACCUACCAACUAAUAAAUAUUAGCAAGUUAGCCCGUGAGUUUAGCUGGCUAUUACAAACUAAAAUCCUCAUAUUAGAAAUCACCGAUCGAUAUUAUAUUGUUUUCUCAGAUUAGUAAUACAAAUAACUUUGGACGGACAAACAUUAGUAUUAUUUGUCACAUUAUAUUGCGUCUGCUACAUGAAUCCCGCGCGUUCCGAUACACUCAAAAUCAGUUGAACGGACGGUAAAACAAGUAUCUUUAAAUUUCUAAUGUUAUAGUAAAUAGAGUAUAAUUAUGUAAUAUGAUUUUAUGAUUUUAUUAUGGUUGUUCUGCAGCGAUUUUUCAAUUGAUGUUAUAUCAUAAUUUGGGUACCUACUAUGUCGGGGUCCUACGAGAAAGCUGGCGUAUCAACCCCACGAAUAUUCAGGCGCCCGUAAAUCGUCAAAACGAGUGAAAAGCGCAUUCAGUUGGAUACAUGUGGACGACAAGAUAGUAAACCUGUAAAUUAUAACUCAAGUUGUGGCCAGCUUCAUUGUAAACAAACUUUAGUUUUCAAGUUCAAGGACAAAUGCGUGUCAGUAACAUGGAUAAAUGCUACUUCAUAUGUUUUAUUUCAGUCAAUGAACCUUUGACUGUUAUAGAAGUUUGUCGAGAUAAUAUAAUGACUUUAUCAGCAAUAUGAUGCCAAAGUUAAUACACUUUUUUAAAACAUGUAUUCUGCCAGAAAUAGUUUUGAGACAUGUUCAAAAACAUGCGAAAUGUAUACCUAGGUAUGAAAGCAGCUGUGUAGCGGUAGUUUCCAGGCAAUAAUGAAGAAGGAUGAGUGAAAACAACACGACAAAUGUUUUUUUAUUGUACUAUUAUAGUAGUGUGUUUAGAAUCUACAUUAUCAAUGUUUACAGUCAUGUUUUUUUUGAUGUCAGAAAACUGAAAUGGUGUACUCGUCGUAAUGAACAUAAUGUUCAUAAUGUGAUAUGAAUACAUUGACCUAUUUUAAGGUUUCUGAAAAACAAAAAGGAAAGUUGUUGCUUUUUUAUUUCCUUAUGUAGUAUAGUGAUUAUGGAUGCUUAGAUAUUCUCAAACAUUUUUCCGCUUUGAUUGCAAUCUAUUAUUCUGGUUGCCUUGUUUAUGAAUUAUAGUUUUGAAUUAUUAUUUUGAAUGAGAUUAUUUUUUAAUAAUCAGUCACGUAUCAAGCAUUCAUGUCACAUAAAUACUUGUAAUAAUUGCAGGUUAGUAUAUACAUUCUAUUAAAUAAUGUAUAAGAUAAUAAAAUAAAACUGUCUUACAUUGCA